rnacentral:lncRNA from 1 species
CUACUUGUCCUCAGCACCAGUCCUUCAAAUCUGGUUUUACUAUUGUGUUUAUGCAGUUUAAUUGAUGAUGCAUGUAACAAAGGAAUACCCGUGAUCAUCUUAACAGCAUACGGUAGAAGUGGAGAAAAAACUGCUCGGUAUGUCCUAGUGAUAUCCAAUAUUAUGCUAUGCAUUAUUUCUGGGCUAUAAGAGAUGUAAUUUUGCUAUGAUUCGAGUAUGCUACUAGCUUUUCUCUCCCUCUUUUCCAUCUAUAUUUUUUUGUAUAAGCAUGUUCUAUACAGCACCUUGUAAAACCAAAUCUCAAUGACACAGUUCAUCUAUACGAUGGAGUCAUUUUGAGACAUCCUUCUCAAUACCUCAGAAAUAUUGACGGCUUAAGCUAAUGUAUUUAACUUCAAACACUUACCAGAUUGCUAGAGUUCAAGAUGCUUUGUUGACUGCUUGCAAGCUUGCUAAUGUUUUCCCAUUUGGAUUGAAUGAAUAUAUAUUUGGAUUGAAGUUAAGUUAUAUAUUUUAUGAGAGCUAAAAUCUAAUUUUACCAUUGUAUUAGCUUAUAUCUUUAUAAACUUGAGGAAAUGCUUAAUGUCUUUUAAUUCCUUUAAUUAAUUAUAGGCCAACAAGAAGGUAGCAGAUGCUAAACUUGCAAAAUAUUUUCAAGCAUUUUUGAAAGAGUUUAUAUCUUUAUAAACUUGAUUUUGUGUUUAUGCAGUUUUAUUGAUGAAGCGAUCGCUUCGACUAAUAGUUUCGUUAAUCUUGAGAACAUUGAUAACAGAAUUAUCACUGAAGUUUUGGGUUCUGAAUGGUACGACCGGGUUUAAUUUCAAGGAUCUGGUGUUACCCCGACCCAAUAUUUUGGAUCUGUCUCCCAACAAUACAUGCCUUCCGGGAGUCAAACUCAAGCUGAAGUUCAGAGGUUAAGAGACCAGAUAGCUCAGAUGCAAGCGAGCACAGUUAAGCAAAUUAUCGAGGUUCAAAGAAAAUAUGAAGAACUCCAGCAAUAACUUAGAGUGGAGGCAGCAGAGAAGGAGGCAGCGGCAGCAGCGAGGGAGUCAGAGGCAGCAGCAAUGGCAGCAGAGCAGAGCAGAAAGUACGAAGAGCUCCAACUACAGCUUCAGUAAAUGAUGCAGAUGUUUCAACAGUCGCAAAAGCCGCCAUCUUAAACAUUAGUUUUCUCCUUGUAAAAAUGUUUUUAACAUUGUCACUGUUAGGAUUUUAACCCGAUUAAGCAACGAACAAGAAAAUAGCGAAAUAAAUUGAGAUAUUGAACACACAAAUUUAACGUGGAAAAACCCCUCCAAAGAGGAUAAAAAACCACGGGCAAAGAUAAUUUUACUAUAAUGGCAAAAGAACGAAGAGUACAAAAGAUGGAGAUAAAAAUUAAACCCCGAAAACCUGAAAACAAAGAGCCCACAAAACGUAAACACAAAAUUCUCUAAAUGUGUUAUGAGUUCUAAUUUCUAAUGGGUGUGUUUUCUAAGGUUGUAAAAGAGCCUAUUUAUAGGCUAAAUUCAUAGAUUAAAUAAUAAUAAAAUAAUCUAAACUAAUCAGUGUUUGAUUGAAAUAAGUAAACAAAGUUUAACUAAAAGAUUAUUUUUCAAAUCUGACUGAAAAUAGGAGUCAUAUUUAACAAAUCUCCACCUUGACUCAUGUUUUCACAAUGUCAUCUUUGCCAAAGCCCGCCACCAGCUUAUCUUGAACUAUGCAGAGAAUUAACUGAGUCGAAUUUGUGCUUAAAAACUGGAAGACUUCUAGCCUUCGACUUGUAUACUGUCAAAUCAAAACCAACUCGGGUUUGAUUUUCACGAACACAGUGCCCUAACUUUUAAAAACCUGCAUCUAAAAGAGAACCUCUCUUCAACGAAACAGUCAUAUAUUUUUCCCUCCUAUGACCAAGUUACCUCCGCUCCAAACAAGUUGACUUCAACUCCGUAACGGACGAGGGACGUCCGAUUUCACCGGUCACUGUAUAACCUUCCAGAAUAUAAAGACUGUCGGUUCUUUUACCUUUUAACAAAAUGAGAACUCCAGGAGAUACUUUAAUGCCGCUCGAGUCGAUGUUGAUUUUGCAUCCUUUCAAGUCUAAAAUACUUAAGGAGAUGAGAUUCUUUCGUAAAUCAGGUACAUACCUGACAUCUGAAAGUGUCCUAAUCAUCCCAUCAUGCAUCUUAAUUUUAACAGUACCAAUACCAAUUACCUUACUAGAUGAAUCGUUUCCCAUGCGCACAACUCCACCUUCAAUCGAACUGUAUGUGGAGAACCAUUCUUUAUUGGGACACAUGUGGAAAGAACAUCAUGAAUCUAGGAUCUACUCGGACGUGAGCUUGGUGUUAUCGCUUGUUGACACUAACAAGAAAUCAUCACCGUUUUUAUCGGCCAAAUUAGCACCAGCUACAUCUUCCUCGUUACUCUCAGCAGCUUUUUUAUUUCGCAGUUUAUAACAAUCUGCUUUGACGUGACCUAACUUUUUACAGUAGCGACACCUUUUAUCUCGUUUCUUUGAUGCUACCAAAACAGAAGCUUGCAUAUCUGUCUUGCUAUCCAAAUGAAGCUCAUUGAUGAGUUUGUCUCUACUCAACAAAUGACCCUUCACAUCUUCGAACGAGAGUUUGUCUCUACCAUAAAUCAGGGUCUCCCUGAAAGACUUGUAUGAAGGGGGUAAAGAGCACAAUAAUAACAUAGCCUGAUCUUCAUCGUCAAUAUGAACCUCAACAUUCUUUAAAUCAUUUAAAAGAGUAAUAAAUUGACUGAUGUGAUCUCUAAGAAGCUCACCUUCGUUCAUGUGAAAUGUAAAUAGACAUUGUUUCAACACUAAACGAUUAGCCAGAGACUUAGUCGUAUAAAGAGUUUCUAACCUUUUCCACAAGGCGGAUGAGGUUUUCUCCAUCAAUACCUCUUGCAAUACCGUAUUCGCAAGGCACAACUGGAUUGCAGACAAAGCCUUUUCAUCAAGCUCUUCCCGUUCUGUUUUAUUUAGAUUCUCAGGCUUUUUCCCGGUAACAACCUUUUUCAAGCCUGAGUGAACUAGAAUUGCCAUCAUCUGAACUUGCCACAGAUUGAAAUUUGUCUCACCAUCGAACUUCUCAAUUUCAAACCUUGUUCUUGCCAUCUCUGAACGGGCUGAUCUAUGAAAAUUGAACUAGCUCUAUACCACUUGUUAGGAUUUUAACCCGAUUAAGCAACGAACAAGAAAAUAGCGAAAUAAAUUGAGAAAUUGAACACACAAAUUUAACGUGGAAAAACCCCUCCAAAGAGGAUAAAAAACUACGGGCAAAGAUAAUUUUACUAUAAUGGCAAAAGAACGAAGAGUACAAAAGAUGGAGAUAAAAACUAAACCCCGAAAACCCGAAAACAAAGAACCCACA